rnacentral:lncRNA from 1 species
GUUUGAUCUCAGACUGCUGUGCUAGCAAUCAGCGAGACUCCGUGGGCGUAGGACCCUCCUAGCCAGAUACAAAAAGAAAAAUUACUGUCAUGUGAUGUGUGAUCCAUGAUACCGUCAUAGUUUUGUUAUGAGAAAACUGAGGCUCUGAGAGAUGACAUCAUAAAGCCUUGUAAGACCCAGUUGCUGUGCUCCACCUUCAUACCUUCGCCUAUGUUAGAACUUCUGAGAAGCUGAAGCAUCACAUAUAAAAAGCCAAGACCAUCCUCAAGGAGUUUAAUGAAUGUGGCAUCACAAGAAAAAUAUGCAUCAACAUUGAAAAAUAUGGUGCCUCCCUCUGGAACAGAGCGCAGUUAUAUUUCCUGCAUAGUAUGGAAAAGAAAUAAAAUUCCAUUAACAGAGCUUGAGGAAGUGGACUUGACUAAGCUGGAGUAAGGAGUGCAGAGAGUGAGGAGACAGGAUGCGAAACAAGA